CUCCAGUCCGCUCAACAUCAGUCACUCCUCCACGAACUCCUCCAGCAGUGUCCCCUCAGUUCCCCGUCCCCCCAGUGCUUGUGAUUGUACUGGUAGUUGUGCUCUUACUGCUCUUAGUGCCACUGCUUAUACUGAUUCAGCAGAACAGAGUGAUGAGGAGAGGUAGGAGAGAUCCAGAGACUGUCAUAUUGUGUCUUAUUCAGUGUGUGAUCAGUCAUGUGUUGUGAACUGACAGCAGGUUUGUCUGUCUACACUCACAGCUCUCUCUAAGAGGAGACACAGGACGACGACUGAGGCCGUUUAUGAGGAGAUUCAGCACAGACACAAUCACUUCACUCAGAGGGGGAGUCUCAUCUCUGAAGAACUGCAUUCUGGGUAUGAAAAUACUGAUGAGCUUCUCUCAGUGGACACACCAGAGAAUUAUGAUGAUGUCAUCAUUAUUGGACAGAAUUUUCAAGGUGUAACAGUGGGAGAUCAGGAGGAGUAUGAUGAUGUGAAGAACAGCAAUAAAAAUGAGAGA